UAUUUGGUACAUGAGUCUUUUAAUGCUUUCUAUCCAUUUUCAGGGCAAAAAAGAACCUCUUCACAUGCAAGACAUGACAGCUUAAGUCAAACUGGAGAUGAUACCACUGAAGGUGGACAGGACCUGAACUACGCUGCUUUACGUUUCUCUGGAGGAAAAGCUUCAAGAGGAAAGAA